ensembl:snoRNA small nucleolar RNA SNORA2/SNORA34 family
AUGGCCCUGAAUCAAGGCCAGUAGUUUUCUGAAGCUUUUGGUUUCAAGCAGGAGCCUGAAGUGGUAUCUUUCUAUGGUCUGUUGGCUGUUUCAGAACUUUAGAAAUGUAACAGUCAAUUCAUUACAAAGAAACAGCU